rnacentral:rRNA from 1 species
AACGAACGCUGGCGGCAGGCUUAACACAUGCAAGUCGAGCGCCCCGCAAGGGGAGCGGCAGACGGGUGAGUAACGCGUGGGAAUCUACCCAUCUCUACGGAAUAACGCAUGGAAACGUGUGCUAAUACCGUAUACGUCCUUCGGGAGAAAGAUUUAUCGGAGAUGGAUGAGCCCGCGUUGGAUUAGCUAGUUGGUGGGGUAAAGGCCUACCAAGGCGACGAUCCAUAGCUGGUCUGAGAGGAUGAUCAGCCACACUGGGACGGAGACACGGCCCAGACUCCUACGGGAGGCAGCAGUGGUGAAUAUUGGACAAUGGGCGCGAGCCUGAUCCAGCCAUGCCGCGUGAGUGAUGAAGGCCCUAGGGUUGUAAAGCUCUUUCACCGGUGGAGAUAAUGACGGUAACCGGAGAAGAAGCCCCGGCUAACUUCGUGCCAGCCGCCGCGGUAAGAC